CCUACGGGAGGCAGCAGUGGGGAAUAUUGGGCAAUGGGCGCAAGCCUGACCCAGCAACGCCGCGUGAAGGAAGAAGGCUUUCGGGUUGUAAACUUCUUUUGACAGGGAAGAGUGGAAGACGUUACCUGUCGAAUAAGCUACGGCUAACUACGUGCCAGCAGCCGCGGUAAUACGUAGGUGGCAAGCGUGGUCCGAAUUUACUGGGUGUAAAGGGAUUGUAGCCGGGUUGACAAGUCAGAUGUGAAAUCCUGGGGCUUAACCGCAGAACUGCAUUUGAAACUGUUUAUCUUGAGUACUGGAGAGGGAGACGGAAUUCCUAGUGUAGCGGUGAAAUGCGUAGAUAUUAGGAGGAACACCAGUGGCGAAGGCGGUCUGCUGGACCGCAACUGACGGUGAGGCGCGAAAGCGUGGGGAGCAAACAGGAUAAGAUACCCGUGUAGUC
rnacentral:rRNA from 1 species